CGGAACCCGGGCCAGGACAGUGGCGGCCAGGCCGGGACACGAGCCUGCAGGCCUGAACCAGGGUGAUGCUGAAGAUGAUGACCUUCUUCCAAGGCCUCUAGAGCCAUCAGCCUGUGCCAGGCACCCUCGACUUGCCUAGAGGCCCCCAAAAGUUGCAGUCCACAUCAGAGGCAGAGUCAGAGGCCUCCAUGUCGGAGGCCUCCUCUGAGGACCUGGUGCCACCCCUGGAGGCUGGGGCAGCCCCAUAUAGGGAGGAGGAAGAGGCGGCGAAGAAGAAGAAGGAGAAGAAGAAGAAGUCCAAA
rnacentral:lncRNA from 1 species